UUUAUUAUUUCCUUUCAUCUCAUUGUGUUUCUUGUCUAAUAGUUAGUUAUAUGUAUGCCUUAAAGUUUGAUCCUGGCUCAGGACGAAACGCUGGGGGGCGUGCUUAACACAUGCAAGUCGACCGAUGAACCACUUCGGUGGGGAUUAGUGGCGAACGGGUGAGUAACACGUGGGCAAUCUGCCCUGCACUCUGGGACAAGCCCUGGAAACGGGGUCUAAUACCGGAUACUGAUCCUCGCAGGCAUCUGCGAGGUUCGAAAGCUCCGGCGGUGCAGGAUGAGCCCGCGGCCUAUCAGCUUAGUUGGUGAGGUAACGGCUCACCAAGGCGACGACGGGUAGCCGGCCUGAGAGGGCGACCGGCCACACUGGGACUGAGACACGGCCCAGACUCCUACGGGAGGCAGCAGUGGGGAAUAUUGCACAAUGGGCGAAAGCCUGAUGCAGCGACGCCGCGUGAGGGAUGACGGCCUUCGGGUUGUAAACCUCUUUCAGCAGGGAAGAAGCGAAAGUGACGGUACCUGCAGAAGAAGCGCCGGCUAACUACGUGCCAGCAGCCGCGGUAAUACGUAGGGCGCAAGCGUUGUCCGGAAUUAUUGGGCGUAAAGAGCUCGUAGGCGGCUUGUCACGUCGGUUGUGAAAGCCCGGGGCUUAACCCCGGGUCUGCAGUCGAUACGGGCAGGCUAGAGUUCGGUAGGGGAGAUCGGAAUUCCUGGUGUAGCGGUGAAAUGCGCAGAUAUCAGGAGGAACACCGGUGGCGAAGGCGGAUCUCUGGGCCGAUACUGACGCUGAGGAGCGAAAGCGUGGGGAGCGAACAGGAUUAGAUACCCUGGUAGUCCACGCCGUAAACGGUGGGCACUAGGUGUGGGCAACAUUCCCACGUUGUCCCGUGCCGCAGCCUAACGCAAUUAAGGCCCCGCCUUGGGGACCCCCCGC
rnacentral:rRNA from 1 species